CACGGAGUUAGCCGGUGCUUAUUCGUAUAGUACCUUCAGCUACUCUCGCGAGAGUAGGUUUAUCCCUAUACAAAAGAAGUUUACAACCCAUAGGGCCGUCGUCCUUCACGCGGGAUGGCUGGAUCAGGCGCUAACCCAUUGUCCAAUAUUCCUCACUGCUGCCUCCCGUAGGAGUCUGGUCCGUGUCUCAGUACCAGUGUGGGGGAUCACCCUCUCGGGCCCCCUAAAGAUCAUUGACUUGGUGAGCCGUUACCUCACCAACUAUCUAAUCUUGCGCGUGCCCCAUCUCUAUCCACCGGAGUUUUCAAUAUCAAAUGAUGCCACUCAAUAUAUUAUGGGGUAUUAAUCUUCCUUUCGAAAGGCUAUCCCCCAGAUAAAGGCAAGGUUGCACACGUGUUCCGCACCCGUGCGCCGCUCUCUCUGUUCCGAAGAACAAAUACCGCUCGGCUUGCAUGUGUUAGGCCUCCCGCUACGCGUUCGACUCCUAGAGCCAGGACUCAAAACUCUCUUAC
rnacentral:rRNA from 1 species